ensembl:lncRNA
AAAAAUAGGGAUUUAUUCUCUGACAUACGAACAGAUUUGAGAGAAAACACAUUUUCAAAAACAUGAAACAAAAACAGCGAUACGGCCCUUUAACAGUUCUGUUAUUUUCUUAUUAUUGUUUCUUUUGUUUCCUUAAAAAUGUUUGUUCCCACAACAAAAAGCUUUUCCUCUCUGUCUCUAAUUAUCAGAUAUAUUUCUGUGUGCUGAUGUCCUCCGUCUGUCUGUCUGUCCUCCGUCUGUCCUCCGUCUGUCCUCUGUCUGUCCUCUGUCUGUCCUCUGUCUGUCCUCCGUCUGUCCUCCGUCUGUCUGUCUGUCCUCCGUCUGUCUGUCUGUCCUCCGUCUGUCCUCCGUCUGUCCUCUGUCUGUCCUCUGUCUGUCCUCUGUCUGUCCUCCGUCUGUCCUCGUCUGUCUGUCUGUCCUCCGUCUGUCCUCUGUCUGUCCUCCGUCUGUCCUCCGUCUGUCCUCUGUCUGUCCUCUGUCUGUCCUCCGUCUGUCCUCUGUCUGUCCUCCGUCUGUCCUCCGUCUGUCCUCUGUCUGUCCUCCGUCUGUCCUCUGUCUGUCCUCUGUCUGUCCUCCGUCUGUCCUCCGUCUGUCCUCUGUCUGUCCUCUGUCUGUCCCCUGUCUCUCUGCCUGUCUGUCCGUCUGUCUGUCCGUCUGUCUGUCCUCCGUCUGUCCUCCGUCUGUCUGUCUGUCCUCCGUCUGUCCUCCGGUCUGUCCUCUGUCUGUCCUCUGUCUGUCCUCCGUCUGUCUGUCUGUCCUCCGUCUGUCCUCCGUCUGUCCUCUGUCUGUCCUCCGUCUGUCUGUCUGUCUGUCCUCCGUCUGUCCUCUGUCUGUCCUCCGUCUGUCUGUCUGUCCUCCGUCUGUCCUCCGUCUGUCCUCUGUCUGUCCUCCGUCUGUCCUCCGUCUGUCCUCUGUCUGUCCUCUGUCUGUCCUCCGUCUGUCUGUCUGUCCUCCGUCUGUCCUCCGUCUGUCCUCUGUCUGUCCUCCGUCUGUCCUCUGUCUGUCCUCUGUCUGUCCUCCGUCUGUCCUCCGUCUGUCCUCUGUCUGUCCUCUGUCUGUCCCCUGUCUCUCUGCCUGUCUGUCCGUCUGUCUGUCCGUCUGUCUGUCCUCUGUCUAUCCUCUGUCUGUCUGUCUCUCUGCCUGUCUGUCUCUCUGUCUGUCCUCUGUCUCUCUAUCUGUCCUCUGUCUGUCUCUCUGUCUGUCUCUCUGUCUGUCCCCUGUCUGUCCUCUGUCUCUCUGUCUGUCCUCUGUCUCUCUGUCUGUCCUCUGUCUGUCCUCUGUCUGUCCUCUGUCUGUCUCUCUGUCUGUCCCCUGUCUGUCCUCUGUCUCUCUGUCUGUCCUCUGUCUGUCUCUCUGUCUGUCUCUCUGUCUGUCCCCUGUCUGUCCUCUGUCUCUCUGUCUGUCCUCUGUCUCUCUGUCUGUCCUCUGUCUGUCCUCUGUCUGUCCUCUGUCUGUCCCCUGUCUCUCUGUCUGUCCCCUGUCUGUCCUCUGUCUGUCUCUCUGUCUGUCCUCUGUCUGUCCCCUGUCUCUCUGUCUGUCCUCUGUCUGUCCUCUGUCUCUCUGUCUGUCCUCUGUCUGUCUCUCUGUCUGUCCUCUGUCUGUCCCCUGUCUCUCUGUCUGUCCUCUGUCUGUCCCCUGUCUCUCUGUCUGUCCUCUGUCUGUCCUCUGUCUCUCUGUCUGUCCUCUGUCUGUCUCUCUGUCUGUCCUCUGUCUGUCCCCUGUCUCUCUGUCUGUCCUCUGUCUGUCCCCUGUCUCUCUGUCUGUCCUCUGUCUGUCCCCUGUCUCUCUGUCUGUCUCUUUAUUUUCUCUCGGUCAUAUUAAACUGUUUGUAUUGUGGCACAGAUCUAAAAACAAAAUCAAAAACACCCAGAAUUCCCUCUCCCUCUCCCACAAUCCCCCACUAAUGAUGUCCGCCGGCCACAAGAUGAGGCCUGACGCCAGAGGAGAGAGAGCGAGUGUGUGUGUGUGUGUGUGUGUGUGUGUGUGUGUGUGUGUGUGUGUGUGUGUGUGUGUGUGUGUGUGUGAUAAUGAGAGACUUGAUUUCUGCUUGUUAACUGAGAAUGCAGUGAGAGUGUUGUGGUGUAACCUCACAUGUGGUUGUUGAGUUUCAAAUAUCUCUAAUUCAAUCUGCU